CUAACUGUCUCUUAUAGUCAAUCUAUUAAACUGAUCCCCUAGUAAAAAAGCUAGGAUAHCAACAUAAGACCAGAAGACCCUGUGAAGCUUAAACUAAACUAUUAAACCACAUAAUAACUACUUUCGGUUGGGGCGACCUUGGAAAAAAAAAGAACUUCCAAAUAUAUGACCUUCAUCAUACUAAANGGCACACAAGCCAACAAACGACCCAGCACAGCUGACCAAUGAACCAAGUUACUCCAGGGAUAACAGCGCAAUCCUMUUCAAGAGCCCAUAUCAAAAAGAGGGUUUACGACCUCGAUGUUGGAUCAGGA
rnacentral:rRNA from 1 species